rnacentral:rRNA from 1 species
AUUGAACGCUGGCGGAAUGCUUUACACAUGCAAGUCGAGCGGCAGCACGGGGGCAACCCUGGUGGCGAGCGGCGAACGGGUGAGUAAUACAUCGGAACAUGCCCAGUCGUGGGGGAUAACACUUCGAAAGAAGUGCUAAUACCGCAUACGUCCUGAGGGAGAAAGCGGGGGAUCGCAAGACAUCGCGCGAUUGGAGUGGCCGAUGUCAGAUUAGCUAGGUGGUGGGGUUAAGGCCUACCAAGGCAACGAUCGGUAGCUGGUCUGAGGAGCUGAUCAGCCACACCGGGACCUAGGAAAGGGCCCAGACUCCUACGGGAGGCAGAAGUGGGAAUUUUGGACAAUGGGGGCAACCCUGAUCCAGCCAUUCCGCGUGAGUGAAGAAGGCCUUCGGGUUGUAAAGCUCUUUCGGCAGGAACGAAACGGUGAGCUCUAACAUAGCUCGCUAAUGACGGUACCUGAAGAAGAAGCACCGGCUAACUACGUG